CACAGCCGCGGUAAUACGUAGGUGGCAAGCGUUGUCCGGAAUUAUUGGGCGUAAAGGGCUCGCAGGCGGUUUCUUAAGUCUGAUGUGAAAGCCCCCGGCUCAACCGGGGAGGGUCAUUGGAAACUGGGAAACUUGAGUGCAGAAGAGGAGAGUGGAAUUCCACGUGUAGCGGUGAAAUGCGUAGAGAUGUGGAGGAACACCAGUGGCGAAGGCGACUCUCUGGUCUGUAACUGACGCUGAGGAGCGAAAGCGUGGGGAGCGAACAGGAUUAGAUACCCCUGUAGUCCCUGUCUCUUAUACC
rnacentral:rRNA from 1 species